UACGGCCAUAUCACAUUGAAACACCGUUUCCCGUAGGAUCACUGAAGUUAAGCAACAUCAAGCCUGGUCAGUACCUAGAUGGGUGAUUGCUUGGGAAUUG
rnacentral:rRNA from 1 species